UGGCUUCUAGGACUUUCGGCAUUAC
rnacentral:piRNA from 1 species